rnacentral:rRNA from 1 species
UGGCGGACGGGUGAGUAACGCGUGGGUAACCUGCCUUGUACUGGGGGACGAACAGUUAGAAAUGACUGCUAAUACCGCAUAAGCGCACAGUAUCGCAUGAUACAGUGUGAAAAACUACCGGUGGUACAAGAUGGACCCGCGUCUGAUUAGCUAGUUGGUAAGGUAACGGCUUACCAAGGCGACGAUCAGUAGCCGACCUGAGAGGGUGACCGGCCACAUUGGGACUGAGACACGGCCCAAACUCCUACGGGAGGCAGCAUG